rnacentral:lncRNA from 1 species
CGGGGCGAGGGGGUGGCUGGAGCCGCUGUGGGAGAGGGCGGUGGGGGAGCGCGCGCCCGAGCGCCGCUGCCGUGCAUGCGCAGUGGCGGUGGGGCAGAGAUUAACACUGGUGUCCCUUUGAUCCGCGCUCGGACACUCCGAAUUUACUUCCUAUAAAUCACAUCAUUGUGGAGUCUUUCCAGCCAAUGAAUGUCGAAGAUUGAGCUCUCCGUCCUUUGGAGGUUUCUGUUUGUUUUUCCCCACAAUUGUGCCUGUGCUGUUCCUGCUCUCCCAGCCUUGGAGCACUGACUCCAGAGCCGUUUCUUAGCAUAAUCUGUUCAGGAGAUUGCUCUGCUUCCUCUCUGGCUGAUGUUUUCCCCCGAUCCAGCUGAUGCGCUCCCACAGCCGCUGCUCUAGAAGGUCUGUAUGCGUCCUUAUGCCUGUGAAUAGAUAUUUUGGCUUCCCUGCUGGCACCUGUGACCUGUCCAUCCAUCCUGAGGCACUGGGGCAAUGUCAAGGAUAUUGUCUUUUAUGCUGGGUCGCUGCUAGGAGCCACUGAAGAAUCUCCAGCAGAAGGCCUAUGAGAUCUGUGAAAGAACUCUGGUGUUUGGAGCAGG